rnacentral:rRNA from 1 species
CUGAUGGGCAACGAAGGCCCUCGCCUAUGAAUAUUUUUACAAACGCUCAAAGUAUGACAGAAUGUAUAUCAUAUUGCGUCUGAUAAACGUGACAAAUACAACUUUCAACAACGGAUCUCUUGGCUCUCGCAUCGAUGAAGAACGCAGCGAAAUGCGAUAAGUAAUGUGAAUUGCAGAAUUCAGUGAAUCAUCGAAUCUUUGAACGCACCUUGCGCUCCUUGGUAUUCCGAGGAGCAUGCCUGUUUGAGUGUCAUGAAAUUCUCAACUGCCCCAGGCUUUGUGGCCUGCGGGUGAAGUUGGACUUGGAGGUAUGCUGGCGCAUGAAUGGGCUUUUGUGCCCCGUCUCGCUUGUUGGCUCCUCUCGAAUGCAUGAGCUUUCCAAUCCUUGGCAAAGUAUCGUCGAUGUGAUAAUUGUCUACGUCGCCUGAGAAAGCCGAAAAGGGGAAAUCUUUGAUCACGCUGGGGUGACCUGCGUCUGACAAAUUCGACCUCAAAUCAGGUAGGACUACCCGCUGAACUUAAGCAUAUCAAUAAGCGGAGGAAAAGAAACUAACAAGGAUUCCCCUAGUAACUGCGAGUGAAGCGGGAAAAGCUCAAAUUUAAAAUCUGGCGGCCCC